CGGAGGGUGCAAGCGUUAUCCGGAUUCACUGGGUUUAAAGGGUGCGUAGGCGGGUAGGUAAGUCAGUGGUGAAAUCUCAGAGCUUAACUCUGAAACUGCCAUUGAUACUAUCUAUCUUGAAUGUUCUGGAGGUGAGCGGAAUAUGUCAUGUAGCGGUGAAAUGCUUAGAUAUGACAUAGAACACCAAUUGCGUAGGCAGCUCACUACGGAAAUAUUGACGCUGAGGCACGAAAGCGUGAGGAUCAAACAGGAUUAGAUACCCUGGUAGUUCACGCCCUAAACGAUGGAUACUCGACAUACGCGAUACACAGUGUGUGUCUGAGCGAAAGCAUUAAGUAUCCCACCUGGGAAGUACGACCGCAAGGUUG
rnacentral:rRNA from 1 species